GAACUGCGGAAGGAUCAUUA
rnacentral:rRNA from 13 species